AGGAGGCUUGGGCCAAUCAGCCUUGUUCAAAUAACCCCACCCCACUACACCUGUGCUGGGUGUUGGACUUUGGAAGAGCAGUGAAGAGCUGGCUGGAGAUGAGAGCAGAUGGCUGUGAGGAAGCAAAGGAGAAUAUAAGAUGUGGAUAUCCUGGAAGGAGGCCAAAUCACUGCAGAAAAAAACACCUCUGGAAGUGGAGCAAGCAGAAGACCACUGAGGGGAAACUGAGACACAGUGGCUGCAACAGCACAUGAUAUUGUGAGGGGGUGCUCUGGUAUGAAUCUGUGAUGGGGUGUACCAACCCCGCACUGGACCAAUAAUUGUGGACCCAGGAGAUCACAACCCCUUUCCUCUGCUGCGCAUGCUCCAGUGGAGAAGCCAUUAAUAAAGGGAGACAGUCCAGCUCAGUCCGGGUGAGCGAUGGAGGAGGAAGGACAUACACGGCUGAUCCCUGCAACGCUCCUGGCAAGAGAGCCCAAAGACCCGGACUACACUCCAGGCGACUCACUGACUGCAGAGAGCAGCAGGGAAGUCAAGCCACCACCUGCUGACGAGGCUGCUGCCAGCUCUAUGUCCAACCCAGAGGGAAGUAAGGCCUACAGACUGUUUGUUUGCCCUGCCUAGGGGCUGCAGCCUGAUAGCUGUUAAGUACUACUGCCUACCUCAGCCAGGAGACUGCAGGCUUCAGAUUGGUUGGUGGUUUUGCCCCAGCUAGGAGGCUGCAGGGCUCCAAGCUUUUUGUUUGUUUUGGCUGCCCAGAGACCACAGACUAUUUGUUUAAGCAGAGGUGAAAGUGGGCUGGUACGGCAUACCAGUAAGAAGUGGCCGGGCGGGGCUGGCUGGGGGAGACUGACCCCCAGACCCACCCUUCCACCCAAGGCCUCAUUCCUUCUGGGGGUCUGGAGCCAGCCCUGUAGCGAUAAAUCUUUUAUGUUACUUUAACCCCCUGUGUUUAAGUCACCAUGCCACGGGGCUGGGACCCAGUUGGAUAAAAUCACCCACUUAACGGGGAGUCCCGAUGACUGGGUUACGGGGUGUACCAACCCCGCACUGGGCCAACAGGGGCGCCCCAGCUUGACACGCAGGGCCCCCAUCAUGGACUCGUACACCAAAUUUUGUGAAUCCAUAUCUUGUUUGGCAGUUUUGCACUAGAAUAUCUGGACUUGC